rnacentral:rRNA from 1 species
CGAAAGGGUGAUCGAGCGACGCCGCGUGCGGGACGAAGGCCUUCGGGUUGUAAACCGCUUUUGUUCAAGGUGAAGGUACGGGUCGUGAACUCGUGCUUGACGGUACUGAAAGAAUAAGCCCCGGCUAACUCCGUGCCAGCAGCCGCGGUAAGACGGAGGGGGCGAGCGUUGUUCGGAAUUAUUGGGCGUAAAGGGCGCGUAGGCUGAUCGUUAAGUCUGGUGUGAAAUGUUCACCGCUCACCGGGGACACGCCACUGGAAACUGACGAUCUGGAGUAUGGAAGAGGCACAUGGAAUUCUGGGUGUAGCGGUGGAAUGCGUAGAUAUCCAGAAGAACACCGGUGGCGAAGGCGGUGUGCUGGUCCAUUACUGACGCUGAGGCGCGAAAGCCAGGGGAGCAAACGGGAUUAGAUACCCCGGUAGUCCUGGCCCU